AUUGAACGCUGGCGGCAGGCUUAACACAUGCAAGUCGAACGAGUGGCGGACGGGUGAGUAAUGCUUGGGAAUCUAGCUUAUGGAGGGGGAUAACUACGGGAAACUGUAGCUAAUACCGCGUACCCUCGGAUGUGCCCAGAUGGGAUUAGCUAGUAGGUGGGGUAACGGCUCACCUAGGCGACGAUCCCUAGCUGGUCUGAGAGGAUGACCAGCCACACUGGAACUGAGACACGGUCCAGACUCCUAAGGGAGGCAGCAGUGGGGAAUAUUGCACAAUGGGCGCAAGCCUGAUGAAGCCAUGCCGCGUGUAUGAAGAAGGCCUUCGGGUUGUAAAGUACUUUCAGCGGGGAGGCGUUACCCGCAGAAGAAGCACCGGCUAACUCCGUGCCAGCAGCCGCGGUAAUUC
rnacentral:rRNA from 1 species